rnacentral:rRNA from 1 species
CUACGUGCCAGCAGCCGCGGUAAUACGUAGGUCCCGAGCGUUGUCCGGAUUUAUUGGGCGUAAAGCGAGCGCAGGCGGUUAGAAAAGUCUGAAGUGAAAGGCAGUGGCUCAACCAUUGUAGGCUUUGGAAACUGUUUAACUUGAGUGCAGAAGGGGAGAGUGGAAUUCCAUGUGUAGCGGUGAAAUGCGUAGAUAUAUGGAGGAACACUGGUGGCGAAAGCGGCUCUCUGGUCUGUAACUGACGCUGAGGCUCGAAAGCGUGGGGAGCGAACAGGAUUAGAUACCCUGGUAGUCCACGCCGUAAACGAUGAGUGCUAGGUGUUAGGUCCUUUCCGGGACUUAGUGCCGCAGCUAACGCAUUAAGCACUCCGCCUGGGGAGUACGACCGCAAGGUUGAAACUCAAAGGAAUUGACGGGGGCCCGCACAAGCGGUGGAGCAUGUGGUUUAAUUCGAAGCAACGCGAAGAACCUUACCAGGUCUUGACAUCCCAGUGACCGCCCUAGAGAUAGG